rnacentral:rRNA from 1 species
CUGCUGCCUUCCGUAGGAGUCUGGGCCGUGUCUCAGUCCCAAUGUGGCCGUUCAACCUCUCAGUCCGGCUAUGGAUCGUCGACUUGGUAGGCCGUUACCCCACCAACUAUCUAAUCCAACGCGAGCCCAUCCUUCGGCACCUCAGUUUUGGUAUUUCUAUCAUGCGGUAAAAAUACGUUAUGCGGUAUUACUGUCCGUUUCCAGACACUAUCCCCCUCCGAAGGGCAGGUUGCUCACGCGUUACUCACCCGUCCGCCA